rnacentral:rRNA from 1 species
UGGAUGCCCUGGCAGUCAGAGGCGAUGAAGGGCGUACUAAUCUGCGAUAAGCGCCGGUAAGGUGAUAUGAACCGUUAUAACCGGCGAUACCCGAAUGGGGAAACCCAGUGUGAUUCGUCACACUAUCAUUAACUGAAUCCAUAGGUUAAUGAGGCGAACCGGGGGAACUGAAACAUCUAAGUACCCCGAGGAAAAGAAAUCAACCGAGAUUCCCCCAGUAGCGGCGAGCGAACGGGGAGGAGCCCAGAGCCUGAAUCAGCAUGUGUGUUAGUGGAAGCGUCUGGAAAGGCGCGCGAUACAGGGUGACAGCCCCGUACACAAAAGCGCAUGUGCUGUGAGCUCGAUGAGUAGGGCGGGACACGUGGUAUCCUGUCUGAAUAUGGGGGGACCAUCCUCCAAGGCUAAAUACUCCUGACUGACCGAUAGUGAACCAGUACCGUGAGGGAAAGGCGAAAAGAACCCCGGCGAGGGGAGUGAAAAAGAACCUGAAACCGUGU